rnacentral:misc_RNA from 1 species
GAUGAAGAACGUAGCAAAAUGCGAUAAGUAAUGUGAAUUGCAGAAUUCAGUGAAUCAUCGAAUCUUUGAACGCACAUUGCGCCCGCUGGUAUUCCGGCGGGCAUGCCUGUUCGAGCGUCAUUUCAACCCUCAAGCCCCCGGGUUUGGUGUUGGGGAUCGGCUCUGCCCUUCUGGGCGGUGCCGCCCCCGAAAUACAUUGGCGGUCUCGCUGCAGCCUCCAUUGCGUAGUAGCUAACACCUCGCAACUGGAACGCGGCGCGGCCAUGCCGUAAAACCCCAACUUCUGAAUGUUGACCUCGGAUCAGGUAGGAAUUCCCGCUGAACUUAAGCAUAUCAAUAAGCGGAGGA